UGGGGAAACCCAGUGUGAUUCGUCACACUAUCAUUAACUGAAUCCAUAGGUUAAUGAGGCGAACCGGGGGAACUGAAACAUCUAAGUACCCCGAGGAAAAGAAAUCAACCGAGAUUCCCCCAGUAGCGGCGAGCGAACGGGGAGGAGCCCAGAGCCUGAAUCAGCAUGUGUGUUAGUGGAAGCGUCUGGAAAGGCGCGCGAUACAGGGUGACAGCCCCGUACACAAAAGCGCAUGUGCUGUGAGCUCGAUGAGUAGGGCGGGACACGUGGUAUCCUGUCUGAAUAUGGGGGGACCAUCCUCCAAGGCUAAAUACUCCUGACUGACCGAUAGUGAACCAGUACCGUGAGGGAAAGGCGAAAAGAACCCCGG
rnacentral:rRNA from 1 species